CCAAUAGCGUAUAUUAAAGUUGUUGCAGUUAAAAAGCUCGUAGUUGAAUUUCGGGAUUGGCGCAUCGGUCGUGCCUCACGGGGUAUGAACUGGUGCAGUCAAUUUCUCACCUUCUGGAGAACCGCGAUGUCCUUAAUUGGGUGCCGCGGGGAACCAGGACCUUUACUUUGAAAAAAUUAGAGUGUUUAAAGCAGGCAUUUUUGCUUGAAUACAUUGGCAUGGAAUAAUAAAAUAGGACGGCAUGGUUCUAUUUUGUUGGUUUCUAGGACCACCGUAAUGAUUAAUAGGGAUAGUUGGGGGCAUUAGUAUUCAAUUGUCAGAGGUGAAAUUCUUGGAUUUAUUGAAGACUAACUACUGCGAAAGCAUUUGCCAAGGAUGCUUUCAUUAAUCAAGAACGAAAGUUAGGGGAUCGAAGACGAUCAGAUACCGUCGUAGUCUUAACCAUAAACUAUGCCGACUAGGAAUCAGACGAUGUUAAUUUUUUAAUGACUCGUUUGGCACCUUACG
rnacentral:rRNA from 1 species